AGUGGGGAAUCUUUCGCAAUGGACGAAAGUCUGACGGAGCGACCCGCGUGGGGGAUGACGGCUUUCGGGUUGUAAACUCCUUUUCUGGGGGAAGAAUAAGGUCGAGAGGAAAUGCUCGUCCGAUGACGGUACUCCAGGAAUAAGCAUCGGCUAACUUCGUGCCAGCAGCCGCGGUAAGACGAAGGAUGCAAGCGUUAUCCGGAAUUACUGGGCGUAAAGGGCGUCUAGGCGGUUGGGUAAGUCACCUGUGAAAGCCCUCAGCUUAACUGAGGAACGUCAGGUGAAACUGCUCGGCUUGGGUGCAGGAGAGGAGGGUGGAACUCACAGAGUAGCGGUGGAAUGCGUAGAUACUGUGAGGUACCCCGAUGGCGAAGGCAACCCUCUGGCCUGCUACCGACGCUGAAGCGCGAAAGCGUGGGGAGCAAAGGGGAUUAGAUACCCCCGUAGUCCACGCCGCAAACGAUGUUCACUUGGUGUCGGUCAUACAAAUAGAUCGGUGCCGGAGCUAACGCAUUAAGUGAACCGCCUGGGGAGUACGGCCGCAAGGCUAAAACUCAAGAGAAUUGACGGGUCCCUGCACAAGCGGUGGAGCACGUGGUUUAAUUCGAUGAUAAGCGAAGAACCUCACCUGGGCUUGACAUACUAGUGGUAGGAACCUGAAAGGGCGACGACCUCUACCUUCGGGUAGGGGAGCUAGCACAGGUGAUGCAUGGCUGUCGUCAGCUCGUGUCGUGGGACGUAGGGUUAAGUCCCGAAACGAGCGCAACCCUUGUCGUUAGUUGCCAGCGGGUAAUGCCGGGGACUCUAACGAGACUGCUGGUGAAUAGCCGGAGGAAGGAGGGGAUGACGUCAAGUCAUCAUGUCCCUUAUGCCCAGGGCGACACACAUGCUACAAUGGGAGGUACAAAGGGUCGCAAUACCGUAAGGUGGAGCUAAUCCAUAAAAACCUUCCUUAGUUCGGAUUGAGGUCUGCAACUCGACCUCAUGAAGCCGGAAUCGCUAGUAAUCGCGGGUCAGCCAUACCGCGGUGAAUAUGU
rnacentral:rRNA from 1 species